CCUCUCUCUGAUAUCCUGAUUUUGGUGUGUCCACACAUCACCUCCAACCAGAGGAACAUAUACAACAUCUAGAACCUUCCGUCCUCCAGACAUUUCACUAUAAUGGCCGUGAACGGUAAUCUAAUGGCAAUAUCAAAUUUUAGUUUCUAUAAUUUUCAGUAGAUAAAAAAGAUUUUGUUAUUGAUGAUCUUCUGCUCGUACCCUCGGCGACGAAAAUUUUGUUGUCCGUGCAUCGAUUCUGUUGUGAUAACGACGUGAUUCUGGAAUUCGAUGUGUCAAGGUGCGUGACUGCCGGAACAGGAAAAUUCUGAUGGAAGGGGAAAAAAGCAAUGGUCUCUAUCAACUACCUAUCAACAUCUCAAGGCUACCUCAAGCUAUGAGUACAACAAGAGCGUCGACACAAGUCUGACAUUGCCGCUUGGGUUACCUC
rnacentral:lncRNA from 1 species